CGCACUUCACUCUCCGGCCCCGCACCUGCACCCGCGCCAGCGCCGGCGUCUUCUCCUGCCAGGGCACGCGCACCCCCCCCUGCAGGCAGCUGCCCCCCUCGGGGUCGCACGUGKAGCCCUGGGGGCAGCAGUGCACGUGGUCGGGGCAGCACACGGCCUGGGGGGCACAACAAAAAGGGACGUCAGCACGGUCCCCUCGGCCCCGCGGCUGCCACCGCCUCCAUCCCAGGGGGCAGGAGGUCGAGGGACCCUCUCCAGACCCGGCUCCGCUUAUCGGCGCCGUCACGGGAAAACUGCGCUAACGUGUCCCAUCUGCCCCACUUUGGUCCCUCCUUCCCUGCGCUCCGUACCCCCAUCCGGAGCCCGGCUCCAUCCCCCCGGCACAGGGCGGGGGGCUACGGGGUCCCCCCGCACCCUUGUCCCCUCCCGCCUGGGCCAGCCCAGGUCCCUCAGCCCCCAGCACCCUGGUGGCCUCGCACCACUCUGAUCGCAUCCCUCUUGUGCUGGGAGCCCCAAUCCGGGUACAGGAUGCAGCCGAAGCCAUAGGAGCGCUGGGAAAAGGGGAAGCUGCCCAUCCCACUGGAUCCUGCCGGGAUCCUGGCAGGACAGCCAGGAUCCCGUGGCCCUGCCCGGGCGCUCAGAGCUCCCCCAUCUCGGACCACAGCGCCUUUCCAGCCAUCCCUGGCCCAUCCCCUAGCAGGGGUCCAUCUGUCCUAGGGCAGUAUCUGUCCAUGCUGGGGCACAGCGGGGUCCAUCUGUCCCACCCUCCAGGAGAAGGGGGUCUCUCCCUUUCUGCAGGGGUCUCUCUCUCUUGGGGUGCAGGACCUGGCCUCGCUCCUGUUGGACACCAUGAGGGUUCCCGCACCCUUUUAAGCACCGAUCGAGGUCCCUCUACACGGGGUCCUGCCCUUGGGGCACCCCGGGGUGCCACCACCCUCCCCACGGGGCUCAGCCCAGCCCAGGGCCCUCUGCUCCCCCGCAGGCUCCGUCCCAUCCCCUGGGACCGAGGUUACGUCCUGGCCACGGGCAGGGACCUCCCUGAC
rnacentral:lncRNA from 1 species